rnacentral:rRNA from 1 species
GACGAACGCUGGCGGCGUGCUUAACACAUGCAAGUCGAACGGAAAGGCCCCUUUGGGGGUACUCGAGUGGCGAACGGGUGAGUAACACGUGAGUAACCUGCCCUUGACUUCGGGAUAACUUCAGGAAACUGGGGCUAAUACCGGAUAGGAAUCCUUGCUGCAUGGUGGGGGUUGGAAAGCUUCGGCGGUUUUGGAUGGACUCGCGGCUUAUCAGCUUGUUGGUGGGGUAGUGGCUUACCAAGGCUUUGACGGGUAGCCGGCCUGAGAGGGCGACCAGCCACAUUGGGACUGAGAUACGGCCCAGACUCCUACGGGAGGCAGCAGUGGGGAAUAUUGAACAAUGGGCGGAAGCCUGAUGCAGCAACGCCGCGUGCGGGAUGACGGCCUUCGGGUUGUAAACCGCUUUCAGCAGGGGCGAAGCUUGUGGUGACGGUACCUGCAGAAGAAGCACCGGCUAACUACGUG